CCCAAUUUUGUAUUGAAAAUAGGAAACUAAACUGAUUGUAAACAACUAGAAGAAUCAACUACAUUUACAAGUACAUGAAAUGAACAAACCAAACAAUAAAAACAAAAUGAUCUACUCCUUAAGCCAAAAUUACAUGAAAUAACCUAGAAUUGGGAUAAAAAAUAUUGAUAGACGAAAAAAGUGAAAUACGACAUAAACAUAAAAUAUAUAAGACUAAACUACUAGAGAUAGGAAGAAAUGAAAGCUAAAGAACAAAAGUGUCUUACCUUAAGCAGCCACGCGACCACUUACACGCCACAACACACUCAGACCGGCCGUUUGAAGGGAUCAGGAACAACAAAAUGUUGCGACUGCUCUCUACAAAAGACGGGACUGAACUCAAAUGAACUUCUGAUGAUGAUAACUAUUUUUGUUCUCAAAAAAAGAAAAAAAAACGACCUAAGAAUUAAGUGAGAUUGAAUACACCUGGCAACAUUUAUCAAAUAUUAUCUUUUUCCAGUGGGAGUCGUACUUGUCAGCUGGUGAAGAAUAAUGGUUGACUGUCAGAUUCAAAUUAAUUCCGAAAGCGCCCCCAACAAGUUGUUAGUCCUUAUUUUGAGAAAAUCAAGCUGACAGCCAGAAUAUACAUAAGCGGACCGUCAAUGAGUGGAAAGAGCAAACUUGUGUUGGAUAUGCUUCAGCACCGCGAUGAAGCAUUUCGAGGUUCUUUUUCUCGAGCUAUUUAUUGUGGCCCAUCUGCUCACGACUUCAAAUUUACAUCGCUUUUGGUUUUGCUUUGAAACCUUGAACUUGCGAUUUCCAUUGAUUCGUGGAGCCCAUUACAUAAUGAUUUAUUUGGCAACGGACUCAAACCUACCGCCGGAUUUAAUGUUUCGAAGUUUUAUUUUACAACCGAACAUCAAAU